rnacentral:rRNA from 1 species
ACAUGCAAGUCGAACGAAGCGCUUAAACAGAUUCUUCGGAUUGAAGUUUUGCGACUGAGUGGCGGACGGGUGAGUAACGCGUGGGUAACCUGCCUCAUACAGGGGGAUAACAGUUAGAAAUGACUGCUAAUACCGCAUAAGCGCACGGUGCUGCAUGGCACAGUGUGAAAAACUCCGGUGGUAUGAGAUGGACCCGCGUCUGAUUAGCUAGUUGGUGGGGUAACGGCCUACCAAGGCGACGAUCAGUAGCCGGCCUGAGAGGGUGAACGGCCACAUUGGGACUGAGACACGGCCCAAACUCCUACGGGAGGCAGCAGUGGGGAAUAUUGCACAAUGGGGGAAACCCUGAUGCAGCGACGCCGCGUGAGCGAAGAAGUAUUUCGGUAUGUAAAGCUCUAUCAGCAGGGAAGAAAUAGGACGGUACCUGACUAAGAAGCACCGGCUAAAUACGUGCCAGCAGCCGCGGUAAUACGUAUGGUGCAAGCGUUAUCCGGAUUUACUGGGUGUAAAGGGAGCGUAGACGGUUGUGUAAGUCUGAUGUGAAAGCCCGGGGCUCAACCCCGGGACUGCAUUGGAAACUAUGUAACUAGAGUGUCGGAGAGGUAAGCGGAAUUCCUAGUGUAGCGGUGAAAU